AGGGGAUGAGGAUUUGAUUUCAGGGAUAAAGAACUCAAAGGCUGAGAAAUGUGAUUAUUGUCCAAAGGUCAAAAAUAUUUGAGGCUUUGAAAAAGAUCCACGAAAGACGUGAGAGAGCUCUAUUGUCUCCAUCCAACGCACAGGGUCAAGUUCAUGGGAAAAGCCAAGUCCUGUUUUAUGUGAAACAUAGACCUUGUAGGUACUCAUCAGAGGAAAUUACACACCAAGAGGGUAGUUCAAAGAAAAAACUCAUUACCGCCGCUGCGAAGGCACAGAGCUGCCAAUGCACGGCAGCCUUAACUGUCCGUUGGUUUUCAACAAGCAGUCAACAGCGUCUGCAAAGCUAUAAUCUAGUUCUUAAGGGCCUACACUUACAAUUGCGCUGUGGAUGAGGCCAUCUGCCCACAAACUGUAGAAAUUGUGUAAUGUUUUCCACAAAUGUUAGGUUCACAGUUCAUUAGAAAGAUCGCGAAUCCUGCGCCAGGCAUCUCUUCCAUGUGCUGAUGGCUCUACAGUGGAGUCAGCUGGCUGAACUCAGCCCCCGUGCCCGGUGGAACACCACCUGGUGGUGUGCACCGUUUACCUGUGCCCUGGGCACUUUUCCUAGAUUGGGUCGCUAACUUGGAUCUGUCCUCCCUACUGCACAAACACUUUGGGUAGUCCCACUGGAAUCACCCCUCCGGCAGCUCAGGUUCACAGCUCUGCUUCUCAGCCCCGUGCUUCCUGUUUGCAGUCCCGUUCAAAGGCUGCGUUGGCUACCUAUGGGUAGCUCUUCCUGGCAUUCAUUCUCAUGAAUGUUUCUGGCUCCAUUCUCCUCUUCAUUCUCCCCAUGGAGAAUGCCUCUCCAUGCCUCCUCCCUUGUUCACUAUCCUUAGUCCUCCUGCCUUAGGUUGGUUUGGAGCAUACUCCAUCUGCCCGGUGGUUCCUCUUUGCCCAUAGGAAUAAGUUCCAAGCUUUUUUAGGGCAGCAGUGAGGGUAUUUGAGUCUGAUUUCUCCGUCUUCUCGAUUUAACUCUUUUAUUCCACCGAGGUGGGAUGUUAGCAUGGGAACUGUAUCACACAGCCUUCAGGCUUUUUUUUUUUUCUGUUACACAAACCGGAAGUACCCUCCCCCAGCUUAUCUUCCUGACUUUGUCUGGCUCACUGCUAAGCUAAUCUUCAGCGUACACAGUGUGGGUGCACAUCCUUUCUAGGAGGGUCUCUCACCUUCUCUUGGUGGGUCAGCUUUGUGACCGUUAAGUAAAUCCUUUGGAAUGUACAGAGAGCUACUUUCCUACCAACCAGAAAGCUGAGAGUGUGGGCAGAUGGCAACUGAGACCUGAGGCAGAGGCAUCCCCACUGUUCUUUGACCUGACUACGCAGUGUUUCCACCAAUGAGUUUGAAAAGGAUCUCGAUUCGCGGCUGUCUCUGUUCCAUUGCUAUAAAAAAUUUUGUGAAACUGCUUCCACAUUGAA